rnacentral:rRNA from 1 species
ACGCUCGACACUACGGGAGGCGGCAGUGGGGGAUAUUGCGCAAUGGGGGAAACCCUGACGCAGCAACGCCGCGUGAAGGACGAAGGUUUUCGGAUUGUAAACUUCUUUUGUCAGGGACGAAGAAAUGACGGUACCUGACGAAUAAGCUCCGGCUAACUACGUGCCAGCAGCCGAGGUAAUCUGAGGCGGGCGUGGACGAAGGC